AGUUCCUUUACACUUUGAUAGUCAUACCCCGUGUCCAAUCAGAAACGAGCAUUGAUUGAUGUUCAGUAAGGACCUAACCUUUCCGUUUUGAGUUAAUGUCGUGUUGUUGGUUUGUAAAAGUGUUCUGUACUUUAGGGCCACUGUAAUUUUGGGUUUGCAAUCAGUUACAACCGCAAUGAUCAAAAAAAUUUUGUGAAAACAGUCACUGAGAGUGCCGUAUGCUCAUGGCAAUACAUCAUCUGGACUCAAACCCCUAAUCUCUUGUUUCUCAGCCCAGUUACUAACUACUGUGUGUGUGUGUGUGUGUGUGUGUGUGUGUGUGUGUCUGUCUUGGGAUCAUGUGUGUAUUUUUUUCUUUUAAAUCCCAGAGAGCCACUUGUAGUUAGACAGCUGUGGUUAGACACCAUGUUACAACUACAUCUGAAAAUAAAGAGCACUUGGAGAGAGUAAUACUACCAGGGUUGCCUACUCUCAUGCAUUUGGCGUGAGAUACACUUUCAGGCUAAGUAAAUCUUGUGCCAAAUUAAAUAACAAGCCAGCGUAAAAAUACAACAUGGUCUCAAAUUUGCUCAUAUGAUUUUUUUUCUGUCAGCAUGAAGAAGGUGUGGGGUUUAAUUAAACCAGUGGAGCCCCACAACUUUUUGAUUGGACCAGUCUGAAGCAGCUGGGUUCUGUACCAGCCAUAUUUCUUAUUGCUCUGUCCAAAGUCACUGAGCAAAAUGAAGAUGGUGCUGGAGAAGACAGAGGACAGUGGAUUAGGUACCUAUAGGAAGACAGAAGAUAAAUCCGAUCACUGUGAAACUAUGGAGUUCUGAAGGCAUGGUUCACAGAUUUCUGGAUAUGGGCCUAAAUACAGGGACCAACUGCUGUACUGCAGAGGCCAUGUUUAGUAAAAUGCAUGAGGUGCUGCAAAGUUACAUCACAUGGACCAGUUGUGUGGCUCUUGCAGUUCACAAUGCCAGUGUCAACAGGGGUAUCAGAAAUUCAGUUAGGAGCAGGGUCCUGGACCAGAAUCCUUCUGUAUUUGUCCUAGGCUGUCCCUGCCACAUUGUAUACAAUAAUGCACAUGCUGGAGGGUUGCUGUAUUCAGAAGUAAUCGCCUGGAAGUCACAAUGUUAGCUGUGUUUAGAUCUUGUUUAUAAUUUCUAUUUUAGGGAGUGAUUUGACAUACAGUAAUAUGACUAACAUAAUGUUUUGCUUUCCCCAGAUAUCAGGCUUUGAUGUUCAGGAUUUUUGUAUUGAUCUUGUGUACUGGUUCAAAUCCAGCACAAAGAGAAAGAACACAUGCUUGACGGCAAAUUAUCAUUGCAUAAUGCAUUUAUUGUACUGUGAGAGUAUUGUGAGAAUCAGAAAUGGCAAUCAUUUAUUGAAGGGCCAUACUACUUUUAUUUAUUUAUAUAUAUAAUGUGUGUGUGUAUAUAUACAUUUUAGAGUUCUGUGUGUUUUGUGACACAAAGUACAUGGACGAACUGCAGCAUUUGAGCAUUAGGUGGCUCAGUUUGGACCUAGCUGUGAACUGUAUACUCCGUCUCUACAAUGCUAUUUUAGAUCCACAGGUUGGUAAAAGUUUCUUUUAUUAUUUGUAAGAAUUUGUAUGACACUUCAGCGUUAAUAAACUGUACUUAGAUGAAGGGCAAGCCAGAUUUGUAUGACUCUGUUCCCUUUUUGAGGAUCCAACCGCUGAAGUUCAUCUCCUCUGUUACUGAGCACUUCUACCUACAUUUAUUGAGUUUAAUCUGUUAUUCCAGAGACAAGACCCACACCUCCAUCCCCUUUCAUGGGCAGGUGCGUGAUUUCACUAUUUCAGUAAGUGUAAUGUGUACAGUUGUUUUUGGGAGGUUAAUAUCUCUUUAUUUCAGAUAAGGAGUUUCAUACGAAAGCUGAGGUCAACGUUCCUGAAGCCUGUAGCUUUCAAAAUGACAACUUUAGAGACUGUUGAUCUUCUAGGACAAGAAAACCAACUGCCAGACCUCCAGCUUGGCCCUACGACUGACAAGCGCCACUGUGAGAAGGCUGCAUGAGGCUGGCGAAAUUCCCUCCAGUGAUGUUGCAAACCUCUACAUAGCAGCAAUGGGCUUUCUGGUGAGGUCUACAGAGUAUACCUUGACAAAGCUGCCACUGAAUGACACAAUUCUCUCACAUGCUCAGUUUGUGGACUUCAGGCAGAGACUGGACACCAAAAGGGAUGAUGUGCUUUACUUUGUCCAACGGUGAACAAAUUAACCCUGUUUGACUAUACCAAUAAUCUGAGUGAUUUGGAGUGGAGGCUGGCUCUACCAGCUACUGUAAUGGUCUCCUUCUGCCAUUUGACGAUGCCAGAGAACAGGACAGCAUGGGUGAGGAGUUCCUGGAUUUUCAAAUGCUAGAAGACACCAACAUCCCUGAAAGGGUCUGGAAAACUGCCCUGGUCAAGGUGGAUGGGGAGAAAGAAUUCUACUGAACGGACAUCAUAAGGGCACACUUAAGUGCCAUGAAGAGCCGUUUAACAGGUGCACCCAGGUUCCAAAGACUUGUGAAAGUGACACAGCUUCUGUUCUGCCUACCACACUCAAAUGCAGACUCUGAGAAAACAUUCUGUGAUAGGCCUCAACAAAACUGAAGCAAGUAAAAAAUUAUCACUAGAGGGUACAUUGUCCUCUGUAAUGUGUAUCAAGAUGACCCAGAUGGAACCAUGCUACAAAUAUGAGCCACCUCUGCAGAUGAUUAAAAACUCAGUCUGCAGCUUCAGAAUACAACAAAGAACAUUCAGCAAAAUAGGUUGAUAAAACAUCAGGAAAAGGUCUUUCCUAUUUUACUUCAAAAGAAAAGCAUGAAUUGUAAAUUUACAUUUACAUUGUUUUCAUGACCGUUAGGCAUAUUUUAUCCCCUAAUUCUCAUUUCUGAACAGCAAAAAAGGUAAUUUGAUUCAUAAAUCUCAAUCCAGCCUGGUAGCCAAAGUCAGCAACCCUGUAGUACAGAAUGUGCAGAUUUCUUUAAAAUGAUCAGUUAUCAGUUUUUUUAUACUUACUUAUCCACACUUCUCAAUACUAUGUUCAGUCUUUCGAAACUCUUCACAUAGUUGGGUUAACCAGAGUGCAGGUCAGUACAGCAGUUAACCUCACAUCUAUAAUGCACUAUAACUAACGAAACACUUCAUAUACGCCUCAAAACCAACUCAUUCUACCAAAACACUAGCAAAGCAUCUCUCGCUCAACAACCUAUAGCUGGAGUAUACUGGAAACACACCCUGGAUUGUACACCAGUCAACUGCAGUAACCACACACACACAAAAUGAUAACAAAGAGCAAUUUAUCUUAGCCAGUCCACCUACUGGCAUGUUUUAGGAGGAGACAGAAAGCCAGAGGAAACCUACAUGGACAUCGGGAGAACAAGCACAGAAACUCCACACAGAUGGGACCCCGAGCUCAGGAUUGAAGCGGGGACCCUGGAGCUGUGAGGAGACAACGCUACCCACUGCAUCACCACGCUGCUCACAGGUCCACAGAUUUCCCCUUUUGUAUAGAUGGUAAUGAAGUGAUAAAGAGAACGCCUGGGUAAGGCUAAAUUGGAAAUAAUCUAUGGUUUGUUUGUUUAUUCUUCACAAUCUUAAUUUUUAUUACUAUAGAAUGUAUCGAUUUGUUUGGAUUUGAUCUUGUAUUGAUUAGUUUUUGAAAACUAUAUGUGAAUAUGUGAAAAAUAAUUUGUAGAUACACAGAUUUGUUGGUUGAGUUUGAGUGAGAAAAGAAUUCAUGGAUUUUGAAAGCUGAGGUUAUUCAAUCCUUUGUGUCAAAGCAAUAAAAAUUGAUACACAGUUCAGUUCAAAUAGAUGCUGUUGUGAGUUUUGAAAAUGUGAACACAGUAUUAAUAAAGGCACUUUUUUUUAAACAAACAAACAAAAAAAAUGCUGCAGAUAAAGUGUAAUCUAGGAAGUGAAGCUGGUGGUCAGUGACAGAGAGACAGCAGAAAAAGGUGUGAAAUUCACACACAUCUAUUUACAGCUAAGACCAGAAUGAAGAGGUGACGUACAAGUUACAGGAAAUUAACUUUUCUAUUACCCUUUAUAUGAAUUAUUAUAGAUAGAUUCAAUAAGACAGAGAUUGUGAGAGAUGUAAUUCAGUAAAUUACAGUGUAUGUUUUUACACAUUAUUGUAGGGAUGGAAAAUAAUCUUACUGUAGAAUCCUCCUUAUUCAUUAGCCCACCUCUCUUCAUCUGUACAUUUUUGACUGAAGUUAAUCAGGAAGAAAAAAUCCACAUGAUCAAAGCUGAACAGGUCUAAAUAAGGACAUUAUAACACAAGGCAUGAUGUGUAUGUUUACCUUGCAUAUAAAGAUUACUGUUGUUUUUGGGCAAUUGAACUUGAAGUACAUGCUGGUCUUGAAUUUAGCAUUUUAGUAACAUUACAUUUAUAAAAUAU